GGACGUAUGCUCUUGCGCUCUCGGCGGCCCUGGAAAAUACGCGUCCGUAAUGAAUCGCAGCUCUCGAGUCGGUCCGUACCCACCAUCCGCAGCAGGUCUCCAAGGUGUACAGCCUCUCGUCGAUAACGCCAAUGUAGGUAAGGGAAGUCGGCAAAUUGGAUAUCGGAAGAGCAUC